rnacentral:rRNA from 1 species
AUACGGAGGAUGCGAGCGUUAUCCGGAUUUAUUGGGUUUAAAGGGAGCGUAGGUGGGAUAUUAAGUCAGCUGUGAAAGUUUGGGGCUCAACCUUAAAAUUGCAGUUGAUACUGGUUUCCUUGAGUACGGUACAGGUGGGCGGAAUUCGUGGUGUAGCGGUGAAAUGCUUAGAUAUCACGAAGAACUCCGAUCGCGAAGGCAGCUCACCGGGCCGGAACUGACACUGAUGCUCGAAAGUGCUGGUAUCAAACAGGAUUAGAUACCCUGGUAGUCCGCACAGUAAACGAUGAAUACUUGUUUUCGGCGAUAUAAUGUCGGAGGCAAAGCGAAAGCGAUAAGUAUUCCACCUGGGGAGUACGCCGGCAACGGUGAAACUCAAAUGAAUUGACGGGG